rnacentral:rRNA from 1 species
UUAAGUUAGAAAGGGCGCACGGUGGAUGCCUUGACACUAGGAGUCGAUGAAGGACGGGACUAACGCCGAUAUGCUUCGGGGAGCUGUAAGUAAGCUUUGAUCCGAAGAUUUCCGAAUGGGGAAACCCACUAUACGUAAUGGUAUGGUAUCCUUACCUGAAUACAUAGGGUAUGGAAGACAGACCCAGGGAACUGAAACAUCUAAGUACCUGGAGGAAGAGAAAGCAAAUGCGAUUUCCUGAGUAGCGGCGAGCGAAACGGAAUCUAGCCCAAACCAAGAGGCUUGCCUCUUGGGGUUGUAGGACAUUCUAUACGGAGUUACAAAGGAACGAGGUAGACGAAGCGACCUGGAAAGGUCCGUCACAGAGGGUAAUAACCCCGUAGUCGAAACUUCGUUCUCUCUUGAAUGUAUCCUGAGUACGGCGGAACACGUGAAAUUCCGUCGGAAUCUGGGAGGACCAUCUCCCAAGGCUAAAUACUCCCUAGUGAUCGAUAGUGAACCAGUACCGUGAGGGAAAGGUGAAAAGCACCCCGGAAGGGGAGUGAAAGAGAUCCUGAAACCGUGUGCCUACAAAUAGUCAGAGCCCGUUAAUGGGUGAUGGCGUGCCUUUUGUAGAAUGAACCGGCGAGUUACGAUCCCGUGCGAGGUUAAGUUGAAGAGGCGGAGCCGCAGCGAAAGCGAGUCUGAAUAGGGCGUUUAGUACGUGGUCGUAGACCCGAAACCAGGUGAUCUACCCAUGUCCAGGGUGAAGUUCAGGUAACACUGAAUGGAGGCCCGAACCCACGCACGUUGAAAAGUGCGGGGAUGAGGUGUGGGUAGCGGAGAAAUUCCAAUCGAACCUGGAGAUAGCUGGUUCUCCCCGAAAUAGCUUUAGGGCUAGCCUUAAGUGUAAGAGUCUUGGAGGUAGAGCACUGAUUGAACUAGGGGUCCUCAUCGGAUUACCGAAUUCAGUCAAACUCCGAAUGCCAAUGACUUAUCCUUAGGAGUCAGACUGCGAGUGAUAAGAUCCGUAGUCAAGAGGGAAACAGCCCAGAUCGCCAGCUAAGGUCCCAAAGUGUGUAUUAAGUGGAAAAGGAUGUGGAGUUGCUUAGACAACUAGGAUGUUGGCUCAGAAGCAGCCACCAUUUAAAGAGUGCGUAAUAGCUCACUAGUCGAGUGACUCUGCGCCGAAAAUGUACCGGGGCUAAAUACACCACCGAAGCUGCGAAUUGAUACCAAUGGUAUCAGUGGUAGGGGAGCGUUCUAAGUGCAGUGAAGUCAGACCGGAAGGACUGGUGGAGCGCUUAGAAGUGAGAAUGCCGGUAUGAGUAGCGAAAGACGGGUGAGAAUCCCGUCCACCGAAUGCCUAAGGUUUCCUGAGGAAGGCUCGUCCGCUCAGGGUUAGUCAGGACCUAAGCCGAGGCCGACAGGCGUAGGCGAUGGACAACAGGUUGAUAUUCCUGUACCACCUCUUUAUCGUUUGAGCAAUGGAGGGACGCAGAAGGAUAGAAGAAGCGUGCGAUUGGUUGUGCACGUCCAAGCAGUUAGGCUGAUAAGUAGGCAAAUCCGCUUAUCGUGAAGGCUGAGCUGUGAUGGGGAAGCUCCUUAUGGAGCGAAGUCUUUGAUUCCCCGCUGCCAAGAAAAGCUUCUAGCGAGAUAAAAGGUGCCUGUACCGCAAACCGACACAGGUAGGCGAGGAGAGAAUCCUAAGGUGUGCGAGAGAACUCUGGUUAAGGAACUCGGCAAAAUGACCCCGUAACUUCGGGAGAAGGGGUGCUUUCUUAACGGAAAGCCGCAGUGAAUAGGCCCAAGCGACUGUUUAGCAAAAACACAGGUCUCUGCGAAGCCGUAAGGCGAAGUAUAGGGGCUGACACCUGCCCGGUGCUGGAAGGUUAAGGAGAGGGGUUAGCGUAAGCGAAGCUCUGAACUGAAGCCCCAGUAAACGGCGGCCGUAACUAUAACGGUCCUAAGGUAGCGAAAUUCCUUGUCGGGUAAGUUCCGACCCGCACGAAAGGUGUAACGAUUUGGGCACUGUCUCAACCAGAGACUCGGUGAAAUUAUAGUACCUGUGAAGAUGCAGGUUACCCGCGACAGGACGGAAAGACCCCGUGGAGCUUUACUGUAGCCUGAUAUUGAAUUUUGGUACAGUUUGUACAGGAUAGGCGGGAGCCAUUGAAACCGGAGCGCUAGCUUCGGUGGAGGCGCUGGUGGGAUACCGCCCUGACUGUAUUGAAAUUCUAACCUACGGGUCUUAUCGACCCGGGAGACAGUGUCAGGUGGGCAGUUUGACUGGGGCGGUCGCCUCCUAAAGUGUAACGGAGGCGCCCAAAGGUUCCCUCAGAAUGGUUGGAAAUCAUUCGUAGAGUGCAAAGGCAUAAGGGAGCUUGACUGCGAGACCUACAAGUCGAGCAGGGACGAAAGUCGGGCUUAGUGAUCCGGU